rnacentral:rRNA from 1 species
UACGUAGGGACCAAGCGUUGUUCGGAUUUACUGGGCGUAAAGGGCGCGUAGGCGGUCGUGACAAGUCACUUGUGAAAUCUCCGGGCUUAACUCGGAACGGUCAAGUGAUACUGUCGGACUAGAGUACAGAAGGGGCAACUGGAAUUCUCGGUGUAGCGGUGAAAUGCGUAGAUAUCGAGAGGAACACCUGCGGCGAAGGCGGCCUUCUGGACAGUGACUGACGCUGAGACGCGAAAGCGUGGGGAGCAAACAGG